rnacentral:rRNA from 1 species
AGAGUUUGAUCCUGGCUCAGAUUGAACGCUGGCGGAAUGCUUUACACAUGCAAGUCGAACGGCAGCACGGGGGCAACCCUGGUGGCGAGUGGCGAACGGGUGAGUAAUACAUCGGAACGUGCCCAGUCGUGGGGGAUAACUACGCGAAAGCGUAGCUAAUACCGCAUACGAUCUACGGAUGAAAGCGGGGGAUCGCAAGACCUCGCGCGAUUGGAGCGGCCGAUGGCAGAUUAGGUAGUUGGUGGGGUAAAGGCUCACCAAGCCUGCGAUCUGUAGCUGGUCUGAGAGGACGACCAGCCACACUGGGACUGAGACACGGCCCAGACUCCUACGGGAGGCAGCAGUGGGGAAUUUUGGACAAUGGGCGAAAGCCUGAUCCAGCCAUUCCGCGUGCAGGAUGAAGGCCCUCGGGUUGUAAACUGCUUUUGUACGGAACGAAACGCGCUGAGUUAAUACCUUGGCGUAAUGACGGUACCGUAAGAAUAAGCACCGGCUAACUACGUGCCAGCAGCCGCGGUAAUACGUAGGGUGCAAGCGUUAAUCGGAAUUACUGGGCGUAAAGCGUGCGCAGGCGGUGAUGUAAGACAGAUGUGAAAUCCCCGGGCUCAACCUGGGAACUGCAUUUGUGACUGCAUCGCUGGAGUGCGGCAGAGGGGGAUGGAAUUCCGCGUGUAGCAGUGAAAUGCGUAGAUAUGCGGAGGAACACCGAUGGCGAAGGCAAUCCCCUGGGCCUGCACUGACGCUCAUGCACGAAAGCGUGGGGAGCAAACAGGAUUAGAUACCCUGGUAGUCCACGCCCUAAACGAUGUCAACUGGUUGUUGGUCCUUCACUGGAUCAGUAACGAAGCUAACGCGUGAAGUUGACCGCCUGGGGAGUACGGCCGCAAGGUUGAAACUUAAAGGAAUUGACGG